rnacentral:rRNA from 1 species
UACGGAGGGUGCAAGCGUUAUCCGGAUUCACUGGGUUUAAAGGGUGCGUAGGAGGGCAGGUAAGUCAGUGGUGAAAUCCUAGAGCUUAACUCUAGAACUGCCGUUGAUACUAUCUGUCUUGAAUAUUGUGGAGGUGAGCGGAAUAUGUCAUGUAGCGGUGAAAUGCUUAGAGAUUACAUGGAAUACCAAUUGCGAAGGCAGGUUACUACUAAUGGAUUGACGCUGAUGGACGAAAGCGUGGGUAGCGAACAGG